AUACGGAGGGUGCAAGCGUUACUCGGAAUCACUGGGCGUAAAGCGCGCGCAGGCGGCUAUUUAAGUUGGAUGUGAAAGCCUACGGCUCAACCGUAGAACUGCAUCCAAAACUAUUUAGCUAGAGUGUGGGAGAGGAAGAUGGAAUUAGUUGUGUAGGGGGAAAAUCCGUAGAGAUAACUAGGAAUACCAAAAGCGAAGGCAAUCUUCUGGAACACUACUGACGCUGAGGCGCGAAAGCGUGGGGAGCAAACGGGAUUAGAAACCCUAGUAGUCC
rnacentral:rRNA from 1 species